CCGCGUGAGUGAAGAAGGCCUUCGGGUUGUAAAGCUCUUUUGUCAGGGAAGAAACGGCUGUGGCUAAUAUCCUUUGCUAAUGACGGUACCUGAAGAAUAAGCACCGGCUAACUACGUGCCAGCAGCCGCGGUAAUACGUAGGGUGCAAGCGUUAAUCGGAAUUACUGGGCGUAAAGCGUGCGCAGGCGGUUUUGUAAGUCUGACGUGAAAUCCCCGGGCUCAACCUGGGAAUUGCGUUGGAGACUGCAAGGCUAGAAUCUGGCAGAGGGGGGUAGAAUUCCACGUGUAGCAGUGAAAUGCGUAGAGAUGUGGAGGAACACCGAUGGCGAAGG
rnacentral:rRNA from 1 species